rnacentral:rRNA from 1 species
GACGAAGGGGGCUAGCGUUGUUUGGAAUUACUGGGCGUAAAGCGCGCGUAGGCGGACCUGCAAGUCGGGGGUGAAAGCCCGAGGCUCAACCUCGGAACUGCCUUCGAUACUGCGGGUCUCGAGUCCGGGAGAGGUGAGUGGAAUUCCUAGUGUAGAGGUGAAAUUCGUAGAUAUUAGGAAGAACACCAGUGGCGAAGGCGGCUCACUGGCCCGGUACUGACGCUGAGGCGCGAAAGCGUGGGGAGCAAACAGG